UACGUAGGGCGCAAGCGUUAUCCGGAAUUAUUGGGCGUAAAGAGCUCGUAGGCGGUUUGUCGCGUCUGCCGUGAAAGUCCGGGGCUCAACUCCGGAUCUGCGGUGGGUACGGGCAGACUAGAGUGAUGUAGUGGAGACUGGAAUUCCUGGUGUAGCGGUGAAAUGCGCAGAUAUCAGGGGAACACCGAUGGCGAAGGCAGGUCUCUGGGCAUUAACUGACGCUGAGGAGCGAAAGCAUGGGGAGCGAACAGG
rnacentral:rRNA from 1 species